rnacentral:lncRNA from 1 species
GGCGCAUGCCUGUAAUCCCAGCACUUUGGCAGGCUAAAAGGGCGGGGAUCACUUGAGCCCAGGAGUUCAAGACUAGCCUGGGACACAUGCUGAGACCCUGUCUCUACUUAAAACAAAAAAAAAAUUAAAAAUUAAGCCCGGGCAAAACAGAGUGAGACUUUGUCGCCAUGAAAAAAUAAAAAAAAUUAGCCAACGUGGUGGCGUGCACUUGCAGUCCCAGCUACUUGAGUUGCUGAUUUCGGGAACAUCACUUGAGCCCAGGAGUUUGAGGCUGCACUGAGCCGUGAUCGUGCCACUGUACUCCAGCCUGGGUGACAGAGUGAGCUCCUCUCUCUAAAAAAAAAAGAAAAGAAAAAAGAAAAAAUUUGAAAUAAAAUAUUGGCUAACUGGACCUCAUGGUCUGAGUUUCUCUAGUUUAAUAUCAGACGAUAUCAGUGCAAUUUGUUCCGCCAAUACGCUACAGAAGAACUCUAACUCAGGCAUAGAAAAGCAUUAGAUGGAAUAUAAUUGAUUUCACCUACUUUGUUUAUGAUUAAAAAGCUCUUAGCACAAUAGACAUACUUUUCAAUGGUACAGGUUAGACACCCAUGUCCACAACAACCACGUAUAUGAUGGAGAAACUUCAGUGGCUGAGUCCAUGACCAGGACAAAAUGCCCAAUGAUGUGCUCCUGGUUCACACCAGGAGCCUCAGACACUCACGUGGCCUCAGAGACACACGAUCCAGCAAUCGUGCUCUUUGGCAUUUACUCAGCUGGGUUGAAAACUUAUGCCUGUACAAAAAUCUUCAUGUGAAUGUUUAUAGCAUCUUUAUUCAUCAUUGUCCACAACUGUCCAAACUGGAAGCAACCGAGAUAUCCUUUCUUUGGUAUCAGUACAUCCAUUCAAUGACAUAAGAUAGAAGGUGCCAGCACGCCACACCAAGGCAUGCGUGAAUUGUGAAUGAGGGUGAAAGAAGCCAGUCGGAGGCUGGGCACGGUGGCUCACGUCUGUGAUCCCAGCACUUUGGGAGGCCGAGGCGGACAGAUCACCUGAGGUCAGGAGUUUGAGACCAGCCUGGCCAACAUGGUGAAACCCUGUCUCUACUAAAAAAAUAAAAAAUAAAAAAAUAAAAAUUUAGCCGGGCGUGGUGCUGGGCACCUGUAAUCCCAGCCACUCGGGAGGCUGAGGGAAGAGAAUUGCUUGGACCCAGGAGGCAGAGGUUGCCAUGAGCCGAGAUCACACCACUGCACUCCAGCCUCUGUGACAGAGUGGGACCUUGUCUCAAAAAAAAAAAAAAAAAAAAAAGAGGAGAGAGGGAGGGGUGAACAGGUGGAACACAGAGGAUUUUAGGACAGUGAAAUGAUUCUACGUGAUAGUGUAGUAUUCUACUAUAAUGUGGUAGUAUUCUACUAUAAUGCGGAAUACACAAAACUACACGUGUCAAAAUCCAUAGACUGUACAGGAGAGAGAGUUGGCCUUAAGGUAUGCAAAUUUAAUCACUUGGGAGAUGGAGGAUCCCAGCAUGGAAUUCAGACUGUGACAAGAGACUCUAACUGCAUUACAGAUGCAUGGGUGCACUGUCUGCAAUGGCUGAGAAGCCAGCGCUCCAUGCAGGAGGAAUGAUGUGUCCUUGCCACUGCCCUCAUUUGUGACUUGGACAGCCGCUCCCAGCAGGAUGGUGUCCUUUCCUCCAGAGCCAGGGGAGGAGUUAGGCCUGAUGCCUGGGUGGUACCUGCCUCACCCAGGUUGCAGAGAGCCUCACGGCAGGGUGCUGACCUAAGUAACUUUGGACACGCGUGGAGUCUGUAGGACUAAAGACAGAGGAUGUCAACACUUCCUCUAGGUGAUAAAGGCAUUUCCCACGGGGAUACCAGCUAAUAAUUCUGAAACCACUAUACAUCUACUCUGGAAGUGAAAAACUGAGUACGUGGUGGCAGGUGGUAGGGGUCAGGUUUCUCACUAUGGGAAUGGGAGCUUCCAGAUAAACAAAUGGAAAGGCUAGAAUGAUCCAUGUGGUAACAGAAUUAGAGACAUUGGUAUAAUUUCAUGCUUAAUGUAGCUACUUCUGGAUAUGUGUACAAACAGAUGUGUAUACACACAGCUUCGUAUACACACAUCUAUCUCUUUGUUCUGUCAGCUGAGAAGCAAUGAGCACACUUAGCCUUCAGAUCUUGGUCUCUAAGACCCUUCUCCAGUUAAAAGAACCACAGGUCCUUGGCUAAGUGGCUGAUUUGAGGACUGGAACAGCAAAUACAUAAGAUGAUCCUGGAGUGCCUUGCAGUGCUAGUGUUAUGGGCUGAAUUUCUUUGCCCCCAAAUCACAGGUGGAAGCCCUAGCCCCCGAUGUGACUGCAUUUGGAGAUGGAGCCUUUGAGGAAAUGAUUAAGGUUCAAUGAGGUCAUGAGGGUCAGGGGCCCUGAUCUGAUUAGAUUGGUGUCUUUUUUUUAUUCAGUAGAGGCAGGGUCUCACUAUAUUGCCCAGGCUGGUCUUGAACUCCUGGACUCAAGUGAUCCUCCCGCUUUGGCCUUCCAAAGCGCUGGGAUUACGAGCAUGAGCCACCACACCCAGCCAAGACUGUUGUCCUUAUGAGAACAGGAAGAAACACCAGGAGUGAGCAUGCAGGGAGAGGCCACGUGAGCACACAGAGGAGAGGCCACGUGAGCACGCAGGGAGAGGCCACAUGAGGACACAGGGAAAGGUCAUGUGAGGACGCAGGGAGAGGCCACGUGAGCAUGCAGACAGGCUAUAGGAGAAUGCAGGGAGAGGUCACACGAGGACGCAGGGAUGCUGUCUGUAAGCCACAGAGAGGCCUCAGGAGGAACCCACCCUGCCGGCAGCCUGAUCUCAGACGUCCAGACUCCAUAACUGUGAGAAGAGAAACACCUGUUGUUUAAGCUGCCCAGGCUGUGGCAUUUAGCUGUGGCAGCCCUGGUAAUAUAGUUAGAAGGUGAAGAAGUGAUCGAAAAACAAAACCAGCACCGUGUUGGCUCAUAACUUGCAGCAUAAAUCUCCACAAGUCCGUACCGAUAUAAGGAAAUGACUGAGUAAAUAAAUAAGUGGGGAGGAGAGAUGAAUCACAAAGGAAUUCCAAGUAGUUUGUGUAGACACUCUGCCCCUAAGGAGGGGAGCCUAACCCCCACACCUUCCUUGGGUGCUGCAAAUACUGACUUCCCCACCAAGGGCACCAUGUGGAAAGGGGGACUUCGUGGUGGAGAAACCUGACAGGCUCCGCAUUGGCCAGGAGAAAGAUAUCAGACCAAUCCCCACAGAGGGACACCCUCCGACACACCUGGCCAGCGCUCCUCAAAACUGCCAAGGUCAUCAAACAUGAGAGAAGCUGAGAGGAGCCUGAGACCCGAGGACUGAGUGUCCAGGAUGGGCUCCUGGGACAGGAAAAGGACAGCAGGUGAAACUGAGGCAAUAGGAAUCAAGUGCACACCUUAGUCAAUUACAAUGUGUCAGUAUUGGCUCAUUAAUUACAUAACAAACACCAAACUAAUGUCAGAUGUUAACAACAGUGCCCUCCUAUCUAUCUUCACAUCUUAUCUGGAAACCCAGAUCUAUUCUAAAAUAAAACAUUUAUCUAAAAAUAAAAAGGAAAAAGUUGCUGUAGGUUCCUGAUUGCUCCCAUAGCAGGUUAGGCUCUCCCCCGUCGUUCCUAGCUUGCUAAUAGUGGUAACAACAAUGGCCAUUUAAAUCUACCAUCUCAAGAUGGAAAAAACACAUGUACACAAAACGCAGUGGAAGGGCUGGCUACGAGUCAGAGGAAUGACAGCAAGGAUGGCUGAAUAACAAAGAAACAGAUGAAAUCAGAGGAGCCUUGCCUGUUCUGACCAUAUUCUACACCUGGGACCCUCUUCGGGAGGCCCAGCCAAAGAAAGAAAGAAGGGCC